CGGAGGGUGCAAGCGUUAUCCGGAUUCACUGGGUUUAAAGGGUGCGUAGGCGGGUUGGUAAGUCCGUGGUGAAAUCCCCAAGCUUAACUUGGGAACUGCCGUGGAUACUAUCAAUCUUGAAUAUCGUGGAGGUAAGCGGAAUAUGUCAUGUAGCGGUGAAAUGCUUAGAUAUGACAUAGAACACCAAUUGCGUAGGCAGCUUACUACACGAUCAUUGACGCUGAGGCACGAAAGCGUGGGGAGCAAACAGGAUUAGAUACCCUGGUAGUCCACGCCCUAAACGAUGGAUACUCGACAUCAGCGAUACACUGUUGGUGUCUGAGCGAAAGCAUUAAGUAUCCCACCUGGGAAGUACGAUCGCAAGAUUG
rnacentral:rRNA from 1 species